rnacentral:rRNA from 1 species
AUACGUAGGGUGCAAGCGUUGUCCGGAAUUACUGGGUGUAAAGGGAGUGUAGGCGGGAUAGCAAGUCAGAUGUGAAAACUAUGGGCUCAACCCAUAGACUGCAUUUGAAACUGCUGUUCUUGAGUGAAGUAGAGGUUGGCGGAAUUCCUAGUGUAGCGGUGGAAUGCGUAGAUAUCGGGAGGAACACCAGUGGCGAAGGCGGCCUGCUGGACAUUAACUGACGCUGAGGAGCGAAAGCGUGGGGAGC